GCAGGGGGCAGGCAGGGUGUGGAGCCAGGUGGGAGCCCAGUGGUGCUGAUCGGAGGAAAUGACGCCAGCCGGCGAGCAGGGGAGGCAUGUUGGAACUGCCAUCCAGCCCUGGGCCAGGGGAGCCGGCAGGGGAGGAACAGGAGCACCUCUUUCUACACUUGCUCAAAUCAAUUCAGGGUUCCAUGGUUGUUUGUGACCCAGCCUCCCCCAUGAAGAAUGUUCCAAAAUCGCCGGGAUAGGUGGGUGUAGCAGCCAGCAAGGGCUGCUCUCUGCCAGGCUCUGGGCUUGUUGCUUCCUAGAUUCUCUCCUGUUAUUCCUCACCACAGCCCUCGGAGAGGAGUGGGACGCACUUGCAAGAUGGGGAAACAGGCUCAGAGAGAUCAAGCAACUUGCCAGGUUCAGCCUGGGUCUGUUGGGGAGGUCCCUAAGGGGCUAAGGGGAGCUGCCGCGUCAUUCCGGGCUGGUACAGAACCAGCCUCCGUGUGGAGCCCGGUGUGCCCCGCUGAUCUCGGCUGAAGAUGCCGGUGCCAGAUUGCCGCUGAGACGCCUCUGCUCAGGCAAAGAGCGGAGGAUUGCAAAUUUAAAGAUGGGGUUCAAACCCAGGCUUGCUCUGCCCCUCGCCAGCGAACUACCCUGGGUACCAAGAUGCCCCGGCCCCAGGGCACACCACCACUGAAGGCCUUGCCAGACAUUUGUUUUGUCCUGGUCUUUGGAAGGAGGUAUCAUCAAAGAUCAGACUGAAGCAAAAGACACGAGGAUCACACUCCCACGCCACCCCGUCUCGUUCUUCCUGCUGGACCAGGGGCCGGUCAGCACCAUGUCCACCUCCAGUGGCGGGGGCGUUUGCCAAGCUCAGACGAAAAGCCCGAGGCCCGGGAAGGAAAAGUCAAUGGGCCACAGCCGCGGCAGAGCCGAGACCAGCUCCCAGGCUGGGGUCUUCCACUCCAGUGCAUCCCUGUCUGCUGCCCUUGGAUGUCUCAGCUCGCCGGCUCGCUUGCUCUCCCCCAUCCCCAGGCCCAUUGGCAGGCAAGAGGAAUAACUCAUGUGAGUCAAAAGCAAUUUGCAAACAUAAAUAAUUUUCAAUGCCAGGAGAGGAGACGGAGGGAGGCUGCGAGGAGAGGCAGCCAGCCCGGGGCCUUGCCCGCCCGCCCUGCACUUCCUCUCCCCUCGGCCCCAGGAGCGUCAGGAGCGAGAGAACCCAAGCAGGAAAUGGUUAUCAGGAUGCUUCCGCCGCUCGGAGGAGGGAUUCUGCUUGCCAGUCUCCUCUCUCUGGCUCCCCAACAUUCAUGUGAUUUUGUAAUCCCCCCUCCUCCCGAGUCGUAAGAAAAGAGAUGGUUCUCGGCCGGGAUGUGGCCAGCCCCACUUUCUCGGUGCUGCCUGGGUUUUGCCUUGUCCUCGGUCCCCAACAGACUUUCCCUGACAGAGACUGGCCCACCACUGCUUCAUAAUUUCAGCCCCAGCGGAGGCAGGAGUUUAUCGUGAUGGUCCCGCUCGUCUCGAUUUGGACACGUGGAGUGACCACCCGAGAUCGCCCUUUGAUUCUGUGAUGGGCGUUUGCUUGUUUUUUCCUGGGAUCCUAAGGCUUCAAUUGCCUUGACCGAUGGCACAGUCUCUUCUCAGGGGCUCUGGAGGGUGGUGGGGUGGUGGGAGUGGCGCGGUGGCAUUUUGGAGAGCCCAGCGUGUUAAACACCCUCCCCAAGGCCCGUCCCCAGCGGCUGCCUAAAGCAGAGGGAAGCGACGAGAAACCAGACACCGUGGAAUUAGCAAAGAAUGUCUCCGAUGAAACAGGAAAGGAAGGAAAUCCAGGGAGGUUUACAUUACACCUGGCGCAGGUUAAAAGGAUUUGGGGCCAGUUGUUGGCAAAUUAAACCUCGGGGUGCCUUUGAAAAGGUCCUUUGCUCAGACAGCAAAUGGGAGAAGUUCAUGCCAGCACUGGUUCCCUCUCUGGGGCCACUCCUCCUGCCCCCCCACACACACACCACACACGCAUGCACGUGUACACAGUGCACACACAGCACACCCGCACACACCACACACGCACACAUGCACGUGCACACAGUGCACUCAGCACACCCGCACAC